GUUUUCCUGAGCAAAGCGACAGCAGCUGUCAGACCUGGAGCACCCGCGUCGGCAGCAGCGGUGGGGCUCCCGCAGGGCCGCUCCCCACGCACGCCAGCCGGCGCCCUACUCCCGUGGCUGGCGUCAGCGGCGGCGCUCAGGCUGGGACCGGAGGGUGGGUGUGGAGAGGCCGAGCUGGGCCCCGCUGUGGGGCAGGCCCUGCGCGGGUCGUCCGUCCCCUGGUGCUUGCGCGUGCGUGCAGAGGACAGACGCGGCGCGGUGGUCCUCCCGAAGUGACUGCAGUGUUUGUGUACAGUGUCCUUUGUUCAGAUGGGGGCUCCGCUGGCAGCGCCGUAGCUUUCUCGGGAGCCCUGUGUUCCUGACACGGGGAGGGGAGCCUCUUGGAGAGGCCGGGGGCCGGGGGUCAGGACAGCACCGUCGUGCACUGGGAGCACCGACCUGGGGGGAAGGGGGGCAGGGCGGGCGGUCACAGGAGGAAGGCUCCGUCUCUAGCCUGAUUGCUGCCCCACACAGUGUAGAGGUGGCUGCAGGCAGCGCACUGGCCCGCUCUGACCCUUGUGGCCUGCGUCCCGGGGGUCAGGAAGCGGGGCCGGGCCUCGGCCACCACACUGACCCCACUCAAGGGCAGGCGGAGGACCCGUGGCGUCCACCUCUGAAGGGUAUGUGGAGUCGGCCAGGCCGGGGAAGGCUCACGUUAGGCCACCACACAGAGGCCCACCCUCCCGUGCUCCUUGACGGGUGCCGCCUGGGUGGCAAACACCUGAGGAUGGGGCUCCGACUGCCCAUGCUCAGCCCUCGCUGGGGCGCCCACCUUUGGCCGACGUUGGCCCUUUCGGGGGACCGAGAGCUUCUCGGGAGGCACACAGACAACAUUGCCCCACCCAGGGACCCAGGACUGGUCACAGGUGCUGUGCUCGAGGGACCGAGAACCCUACCGGGCACCUCGGAGCCUCAGCGAGCAGCCCUCCUGCCCGGCCACCCCCAGCGCAUCCCUUCCCAAGCACCACCGUGGCCGCUCGGGUGGAGCAGGUGUCACCCCAGCAGGGUGGGCAGGAGGGCCCUGGGCCAGUGCCGCUGUGCCCUUGAACAGGCGGGAGGGUUUCCCCUCACUUUCCUUUCUUCCUUUUCUCUUUAGUUUACUGUGUAUUCGUCAUACAGUCUAAAAAUAAAUGAAGUCCGUCUAUGAAAUU
rnacentral:lncRNA from 1 species